rnacentral:rRNA from 1 species
CGCGUAGGCGGCGCGGUAAGUCACUUGUGAAAUCUCUGAGCUUAACUCAGAACGGCCAAGUGAUACUGCAGUGCUAGAGUGCAGAAGGGGCAAUCGGAAUUCUUGGUGUAGCGGUGAAAUGCGUAGAUAUCAAGAGGAACACCUGAGGUGAAGACGGGUUGCUAGGCUGACACUGAAGCUGAGGCGACCGAAAGGCCGAGGGGAGCAAACG